rnacentral:rRNA from 1 species
GACGAACGCUGGCGGCGUGCCUAACACAUGCAAGUCGAACGGAACUGUUUUGAAAGAUUUCUUCGGAAUGAAUUUGAUUUAGUUUAGUGGCGGACGGGUGAGUAACGCGUGAGUAACCUGCCUUCAAGAGGGGAAUAACAAUCUGAAAAGAAUGCUAAUACCGCAUGACAUAUCGGAACCACAUGGUUUUGAUAUCAAAGAUUUUAUCGCUUGAAGAUGGACUCGCGUCCGAUUAGUUAGUUGGUGAGGUAACGGCUCACCAAGACCGCGAUCGGUAGCCGGACUGAGAGGUUGAACGGCCACAUUGGGACUGAGACACGGCCCAGACUCCUACGGGAGGCAGCAGUGGGGGAUAUUGCGCAAUGGGGGCAACCCUGACGCAGCAACGCCGCGUGAAGGAUGAAGGUUUUCGGAUUGUAAACUUCUUUUAUUAAGGACGAAAAAUGACGGUACUUAAUGAAUAAGCGCCGGCUAACUACGUG